rnacentral:piRNA from 1 species
UGGAAACCCUGGUCUGUGGUUCCGAA